rnacentral:rRNA from 1 species
UCUGGCUCAGGAUGAACGCUAGCGGCAGGCCUAAUACAUGCAAGUCGAGCGGCAAGUCGAGGAGUAAUCUAAGACCUAGAGCGGCGGACGGGUGCGUAACGCGUAUGCAACCUACCUCAUACAGGGGGAUAGCCCGGAGAAAUCUGGAUUAAUACCCCAUGGUACUGUGACAAGGCAUUUUGUUAUAGUUAAAGAUUCAUCGGUAUGAGAUGGGCAUGCGUCUGAUUAGCUAGUUGGCGGUGUAACGGACCACCAAGGCGACGAUCAGUAGGGGUUCUGAGAGGAAGGUCCCCCACACUGGCACUGAGAUACGGGCCAGACUCCUACGGGAGGCAGCAGUAGGGAAUAUUGGGCAAUGGACGAGAGUCUGACCCAGCCAUGCCGCGUGCAGGAAGACGGCGUUCUGCGUUGUAAACUGCUUUUAUCUGGGAAGAAAAGGCCCAUGCGUGGGACAUUGCCGGUACCAGAUGAAUAAGCACCGGCUAACUCCGUGCCAGCAGCCGCGGUAAUACGGAGGGUGCAAGCGUUGUCCGGAUUUAUUGGGUUUAAAGGGUGCGUAGGCGGCUGAUUAAGUCAGUGGUGAAAGACAUCGGCUCAACCGAUGCAGUGCCAUUGAUACUGGUGAGCUUGAGUGUUGGAGGGGUACAUGGAAUUGAUGGUGUAGCGGUGAAAUGCAUAGAUACCAUCAGGAACACCGAUAGCGAAGGCAUUGUACUUGCCAACAACUGACGCUGAGGCACGAAAGCAUGGGGAGCGAACAGGAUUAGAUACCCUGGUAGUCCAUGCCGUAAACGAUGAUUACUCGCUGUUAUGCUGUAGAGUGUAGCGGCCAAGCGAAAGCGUUAAGUAAUCCACCUGGGGAGUACGCCGGCAA